CCUACGGGAGGCAGCAGUGGGGAAUCUUGGGCAAUGGGCGCAAGCCUGACCCAGCAACGCCGCGUGAAGGAAGAAGGCUUUCGGGUUGUAAACUUCUGUUCUGAGGGACGAAAGAAGUUACGGUACCUCAUGAAUAAUCCACGGCUAACUACGUUCCAGCAGCCGCGGUACUACGUAGGUGGAAAGCGUUAUCCGGAUUUAUUGGGUGUAAAGGGCGUGUAGGAGGGAAAUCAAGUCAGAUGUGAAAACCCAGGGCUCAACCCGGAUCCUCCAUUUGAAACUGGUUUUCUUGAGUGCUGAAGAGGCGAUCGGAAUUCCGUGUGUAGCGGUGAAAUGCGUAGAUAUACGGAGGAACACCAGUGGCGAAGGCGGAUUGCUGGACAGUAACUGACGCUGAGGCGCGAAAGCGUGGGGAGCAAACAGGAUUAGAUACCCCAGUAGUC
rnacentral:rRNA from 1 species